GAUGAACGCUGGCGGCGUGCCUAAUACAUGCAAGUCGAGCGAACGGACGAGAAGCUUGCUUCUCUGAUGUUAGCGGCGGACGGGUGAGUAACACGUGGAUAACCUACCUAUAAGACUGGGAUAACUUCGGGAAACCGGAGCUAAUACCGGAUAAUAUUUUGAACCGCAUGGUUCAAAAGUGAAAGACGGUCUUGCUGUCACUUAUAGAUGGAUCCGCGCUGCAUUAGCUAGUUGGUAAGGUAACGGCUUACCAAGGCAACGAUGCAUAGCCGACCUGAGAGGGUGAUCGGCCACACGGGAACUGAGACGCGGUCCAGACUCCUACGGGAGGCAGCAGUAGGGAAUCUUCCGCAAUGGGCGAAAGCCUGACGGAGCAACGCCGCGUGAGUGAUGAAGGUCUUCGGAUCGUAAAACUCUGUUAUUAGGGAAGAACAUAUGUGUAAGUAACUGUGCACAUCGUGACGGUACCUAAUCAGAAAGCCACGGCUAACUACGUG
rnacentral:rRNA from 1 species